CUAUACAUGCAGUAGAACGCUGAAGAGAGGAGCUUGCUCUUCUUGGAUGAGUUGCGAACGGGUGAGUAACGCGUAGGUAACCUGCCUUGUAGCGGGGGAUAACUAUUGGAAACGAUAGCUAAUACCGCAUAACAAUGGAUGACACAUGUCAUUUAUUUGAAAGGGGCAAUUGCUCCACUACAAGAUGGACCUGCGUUGUAUUAGCUAGUAGGUGAGGUAACGGCUCACCUAGGCGACGAUACAUAGCCGACCUGAGAGGGUGAUCGGCCACACUGGGACUGAGACACGGCCCAGACUCCUACGGGAGGCAGCAGUAGGGAAUCUUCGGCAAUGGGGGCAACCCUGACCGAGCAACGCCGCGUGAGUGAAGAAGGUUUUCGGAUCGUAAAGCUCUGUUGUAAGUCAAGAACGAGUGUGAGAGUGGAAAGUUCACACUGUGACGGUAGCUUACCAGAAAGGGACGGCUAACUACGUGCCAGCAGCCGCGGUAAUACGUAGGUCCCGAGCGUUGUCCGGAUUUAUUGGGCGUAAAGCGAGCGCAGGCGGUUUGAUAAGUCUGAAGUUAAAGGCUGUGGCUCAACCAUAGUUCGCUUUGGAAACUGUCAAACUUGAGUGCAGAAGGGGAGAGUGGAAUUCCAUGUGUAGCGGUGAAAUGCGUAGAUAUAUGGAGGAACACCGGUGGCGAAAGCGGCUCUCUGGUCUGUAACUGACGCUGAGGCUCGAAAGCGUGGGGAGCGAACAGGAUUAGAUACCCUGGUAGUCCACGCCGUAAACGAUGAGUGCUAGGUGUUGGAUCCUUUCCGGGAUUCAGUGCCGCAGCUAACGCAUUAAGCACUCCGCCUGGGGAGUACGACCGCAAGGUUGAAACUCAAAGGAAUUGACGGGGGCCCGCACAAGCGGUGGAGCAUGUGGUUUAAUUCGAAGCAACGCGAAGAACCUUACCAGGUCUUGACAUCCCGAUGCUAUUUCUAGAGAUAGAAAGUUACUUCGGUACAUCGGUGACAGGUGGUGCAUGGUUGUCGUCAGCUCGUGUCGUGAGAUGUUGGGUUAAGUCCCGCAACGAGCGCAACCCCUAUUGUUAGUUGCCAUCAUUCAGUUGGGCACUCUAGCGAGACUGCCGGUAAUAAACCGGAGGAAGGUGGGGAUGACGUCAAAUCAUCAUGCCCCUUAUGACCUGGGCUACACACGUGCUACAAUGGUUGGUACAACGAGUUGCGAGUCGGUGACGGCAAGCUAAUCUCUUAAAGCCAAUCUCAGUUCGGAUUGUAGGCUGCAACUCGCCUACAUGAAGUCGGAAUCGCUAGUAAUCGCGGAUCAGCACGCCGCGGUGAAUACGUUCCCGGGCCUUGUACACACCGCCCGUCACACCACGAGAGUUUGUAACACCCGAAGUCGGUGAGGUAACCUUUUGGAGCCAGCCGCCUAAGG
rnacentral:rRNA from 1 species